rnacentral:lncRNA from 1 species
GGGUGAGCUUUCUUAUCUUCUUGGAAGCUUGAUGUCUCUUCUUGAUUUGCUUUCUCAAAAUUUGUUUUCAAUUUUUUUCAAAUUUAUUUAGCUAAAAUACAUGAAAAAAAUCAAGUUAAAUUCAUUUAACUCCAACAAACAAUAAAAAAUAUUCAUAGUCUUAGUAUUUAGUUGGAUUAUUUCUUUAUCAUCUACUAAUGCAUUAGGUGUGUUGAGCUAUUGAUUAUAAUUUUUCAUAAGUUAUAAUCUUAUGCUUGUAUGAAAAUCUUCAUCCUAGCUU